AUGUGGCUUCAAAAGGCCUCAGCAGAGCUGGGGUUUGAUCCUGGGUCCGGCUUGUGCAAAGCUGGCUUUGCUGGGGACGACGCGCCCCGAGCCGUGUUCCCCUCCAUCGUCGGCCGCCCCCGGCACCAGGGCGCGAUGGUGGGCAUGGGCCAGAAGGACUCGGACGUGGGCGACGAGGCCCAGAGCGGGCGCGGCAUCCUGGCCCUGAAGUACCCCCUCGAGCACGGCAUCAUCACCAAGUGCGAUGACAUGGAGAAGAUCCGGCACCACACCUUCUACAACGAGCUGCGCGUGGCCCCCGAGGAGCACCCGGCGCUGCUGACCGAGGCCCCUCUGAACCCCAAGGCCAACAGGGAGGAGAUGACCCAGAUCAUGUUUGAGACCUUCACCACCCCGGCCAUGUAUGUGGCCAUCCAGGCCGUGCUGUCCCCGUCCCCUCUGGUCACACCACUGGGAUUGUCAUGGACUCUGGAGACGGGGUCACCCACACGGUGCCCAUCUACGAGGGACAUGCUGUCCCCCACGCCAUCCUGCAUCUGGACCUGGCUGGCCGGGACCUCAUGAAGAUCCUCACGGAGCGCGGCUACAGCUUCACCACCAUGGCCAGCCGGGCGGGAGACUGUGCGCGACAUCGAGGAGAAGCUGUGCUACGUUGCCCUGGACUUAGAGCAGGAGAGGGCCACUGCCACAUCCUCCUCAUCCUUGGAGAAGAGCUGCGAGCUGCCUUAUGGCCGGGCGAUCACCAUCGGCAGCCAGCAGUUCCAGUGUCCAGAGGCGGGCGCUCUGCCAGCCAUCCUUUCUGGGUGUGGAGUCCCGUGGCAUCCACGAGACGACCUUCGGCUCCACCAUGAAGUGUGACGCGGACAUCCGCAAGGACCUGUACGCCAACACGGUGCUGCCUGCGGGCACCACCACGUACCCGGGCAUCGCCGAUGGGAUGCAGAAGGAGAUCCCGCCCUGGCGCCCAGCACCAUGAAGAUCAAGAUCGUAGCUCCCCCCGAGCGCAAGGACUCGGUGUGGAUUGGCGGCUGCAUCCCGGCCUGGCUGUCCACCUUCCAGCAGACGUGGAUCAGCAAGCAGGAGCACGAGGAGUCCGGGCCUUCCAUCCCCCGCCGCAAAUGCUUCUAAGUGGACGAGGAGCAGAUGCGUGGCAUUUGCUGCGUGAGUUGAUCCAGAAGUAUCCAUUUGCUCUGGCAAACGUACACACUUCAUGCUAGCCUCACGAAACUGGAAUAAGCCUUUGAAAAGAAGUUUGUCCUUCAAGCUUGUAUCUGGUAUCAGCACCGGAUUGUUGAACUUGUUGCUGAUUUUGACCUUGUAUUCAAGUGUACUGUUUGUCCCCUUGGUUCUUUAAUACCCUGUACAUGUCUUUGAUUUGAACCCUUAAGACCUGUGGCUCACCUUGUGGUGGCGGUGAGGACAUGCUUGAAGGGGAAUCUGUGUGUGCAGGGUAUCAGUGCGUCGGAGCCGACCAUUCCGGGAUUUCUCUAGGGGCCGGCAAGAGUCCUGACCCAGUCCUUUCCAUCUUGCCGGUCUGGCAGGCUUUGGAGGAGUCCAAGCCUGAGGACCCAGUGUUCCUGUCUUUCCUGAUGUUUUCCUGUGGCAACACCACGGGCGG